UGGGGAAUUUUGGACAAUGGGCGCAAGCCUGAUCCAGCCAUGCCGCGUGCGGGAAGAAGGCCUUCGGGUUGUAAACCGCUUUUGUCAGGGAAGAAAUCUUCUGAGUUAAUACCUCGGGAGGAUGACGGUACCUGAAGAAUAAGCACCGGCUAACUACGUGCCAGCAGCCGCGGUAAUACGUAGGGUGCAAGCGUUAAUCGGAAUUACUGGGCGUAAAGCGUGCGCAGGCGGUUUUGUAAGACAGAGGUGAAAUCCCCGGGCUCAACCUGGGAACUGCCUUUGUGACUGCAAGGCUUGAGUGCGGCAGAGGGGGAUGGAAUUCCGCGUGUAGCAGUGAAAUGCGUAGAUAUGCGGAGGAACACCGAUGGCGAAGGCAAUCCCCUGGGCCUGCACUGACGCUCAUGCACGAAAGCGUGGGGAGCAAAACAGGAUUAGAUAGCCCUGGUAGUCCACGCCCUAAAACGAUGUCAACUGGUUGUUGGGAAGGUUCCUUCUCAGUAACGUAGCUAACGCGUGAAGUUGACCGCCUGGGGAGUACGGCCGCAAGGUUGAAACUCAAAUGAA
rnacentral:rRNA from 1 species